rnacentral:rRNA from 1 species
UACGUAGGGUGCGAGCGUUGUCCGGAAUUACUGGGCGUAAAGAGCUCGUAGGCGGUUUGUCGCGUCGGGAGUGAAAACUCAGGGCUCAACCCUGAGCGUGCUUCCGAUACGGGCAGACUAGAGGUAUGCAGGGGAGAACGGAAUUCCUGGUGUAGCGGUGGAAUGACGCAGAUAUCAGGAGGAACACCGGGUGGCGAAGGCGGUUCUCUGGGCAUUACCUGACGCUGGAGGAGCGAAAGCAUGGGGAGCGAACAGG